GUGAAAACCUAGCGCCGCCACUAGAUCCCCUGGCGGUGUCUCUCCGGCGAAAUCAGCGGAGCGACUGGCGGCAACUCUACUCUCCUCGCCGGUACAAGAUCUUCCUCCACUCUAGAACGCUGGUGUCGUGCUACAGAAAGACUCGAUCCAGCCCGUACUCGUGUGGCGGUGCCCUCUCCCAUGCUGCUGUGGCAUUCUCCUUGUUCCCCACUGUCUUGCACCUGCCCAUGGCGCCUUGCAGCCAAACAACUCCAUGGAGUCGUGGCUCCACAGCCGCAGGUAUGUUCAUGUACUACUAAUCUAAUCUCAGCUUGUGUCUUUUCUAAACCGAGCCUCCAUCUAUCUGAUUGGUCUCAGUCACUCGAAUAACCCUUGUAAGAUGCCAGGAAAUGAGUAUUUCUUCCUUUUCAUUCAAUCAAUCUAGCUAAUAGUUUUAUUCAUAUGGUCUGAACUCAAAUAGGCAAAAAACGUGAUAUUAGCAUCACUCAACCUAGUGCUAGAUUGGAGUGUACAGUCUGCAGGUAAUCGUGGACAAAUGUGUCAGCUAAUUAAUCCUUGGAACUUGUCAAUUCAUGAUAUAAGCAUGAACAAACGGAAAUUGUUGAUAUCUUGAAUUAAUUCAAUGUUGGAUUAGGUGGCCCCAGAUUUAUAUCAAAAAUUUCCAUUUUGGUAUGCAAAUAUAUUCUUGAACUUCCACCAAUUAGAUUUUUUGAGUACUUGAGAUUCAUUUGUAGUCCAUAGAAAGUGCUCACUGAAAGUAAUUUACUUAGAAUAAGUGGAUUUACUGCUAUUUUACUAUCGUCGAACUAUUUCUAUAUUUUAAGGAAUGCCUAUAUGAAGCUUGUGUAACAUUCCAAUUAAGUGCACCAUGCAGAAAUUGUUUACAACGACAGUCUAUUCAACCAAUUGACUACAUCUACAGUCUAUUCAAGGAGCAUCAUAAGAAUGUUUCUGCAUCAGGUUGUAUGUACUUGUUUCUUACCGCUGGUAAUAAAUCAAUGUUGCUGCAUCAUGCAUCACUUAAUAAGAAAUUCAUGUUGCUGCAUCGCUUGAUACAAAGAGACCAAUGCGUAAACCUUAUGAAUAUAUUAUAUAGCUCAGGUUCUUCGACGCCCUUCAUCAUUUUUACCUUAUUUUCUCCAAUCGAUGUCACUAGCCCUUGUUUCUUCAUAGGCUUCAACUAUAAUGCAUCAACGGUUCAGAUUGUACUGCCGAGAAGUGAAGGUUCGUAAGAUGCAUCAUAAGGAUUAGCACGCUGCAAGUUCAGAGCCUUUUGUUUACAACAGUUGGUAACAUAUUUAGCAAUAGCACGCUGCAAGUUCUUGCAAAAUAUUACCCACUACUGUUUUCCAUAUUACGUCUUUAUUUUUUUGUGUUUUCUAACCUUAGUUAAAUUGUUCUGUGUAGGGUUAUGAUCAUUGCUAGUUACCCCUAAUGCUAAGAAGGUGCAUAUUUUGGCUAAUGUUGAACAAUCACUGCUGCAAAUGGUUAGAAAGUUUUAUUGCAGAAUUUUAAUGAAGCACACUACAAGACCACAAGGGAAAAAUUAUACAUGUUGCAGUCAAGACCUGUCGGUGUUGAAGUACAUACAAAAGUUUAGAUGGAUUCAGCUACUUAGAAGAACAUGAGUACUGACGUUCUUUUAGUCUCCCCCUCGUUCAUAUGUAUAGAUAGAUUCUAGCUACUUAGAAGUACAUGAGUACGGAAGAUAUUUUAUUCUUGCCCCUCGUUUAUAUGUAUGUACACUUAAGUUAUAAAGUACGAUUUUCCUUGGUUAAUAUAUUUAUUUACUGAAA